rnacentral:rRNA from 1 species
CCUACGGGUGGCAGCAGUGGGGAAUAUUGCACAAUGGGGGAAACCCUGAUGCAGCGACGCCGCGUGAGUGAAGAAGUAUUUCGGUAUGUAAAGCUCUAUCAGCAGGGAAGAAACCCACCCUCCGGGGUGGCUGACGGUACCUGACUAAGAAGCCCCGGCUAACUACGUGCCAGCAGCCGCGGUAAUACGUAGGGGGCAAGCGUUAUCCGGCUUUACUGGGUGUAAAGGGAGCGUAGGUGGCAAGGCAAGUCAGAUGUGAAAACCCGGGGCCCAACCCCUGGAGUGAAUUUGAAACUGUCUGGCGAGAGGGCAGGAGAGGUAAGUGGAAGUCCGAGUGUAGCGGGGAAAUGCAUAGAGAUUAGGAGGAACACCAGUGGCGAAGGCGGCUUACUGGACUGUAACGGAAACGGAGGCUCGAAAGCGUGGGGAGCAAACAGGAUUAGAUACCCCGGUAGUC